rnacentral:tRNA from 1 species
GGCUGGAUCGUCAAGUGGUAUGAUGCUUCCUUCGGGAUUGCUCCCGGUCGUUAGCACUCGACUCUUAUGGAAGAGGUCCCGGGUUCGAAUCCCGGUUCGGCCC